CUACGGGAUGCACCAGUGGGGGAUAUUGCACAAUGGGGGAAACCCUGAUGCAGCAACGCCGCGUGAGGGAAGAAGGUUUUCGGAUUGUAAACCUCUGUUUUUAGUGAAGAAACAAAUGACGGUAGCUAAAGAGGAAGCCACGGCUAACUACGUGCCAGCAGCCGCGGUAAUACGUAGGUGGCAAGCGUUGUCCGGGUUUACUGGGUGGAAAGGGUGCGCAGGCGGGACUGCAAGUUGGAUGUGAAAUACCGGAGCUCAACUCCGGAGCUGCAUCCAAAACUGUAGUUCUUGAGUGAAGUAGAGGUAAGCGGAAUUCCGAGUGUAGCGGUGAAAUGCGUAGAUAUUCGGAGGAACACCAGUGGCGAAGGCGGCUUACUGGGCUUUAACUGACGCUGAGGCACGAAAGCAUGGGUAGCAAACAGGAUUAGAUACCCGCGUAGUC
rnacentral:rRNA from 1 species